rnacentral:lncRNA from 1 species
GCAAGUUUGGGAUCCCUAGAACAAGAACACACACAUCAAAUAGUUCUAUAAUGCAAACAAAGAAUGAACAAGAGUGAGUUUAGAAAUUAAUUCCUUUCCAAGCCUUCUUCAAGAUCAAGCAUUCUAAAGGCAUGAGGCCUAGUUGCUCUUUGACAUUUUCUUCUUUUAUAGCAUUUUAAAGGCAUGAGGCCUAGUUGCUCGCAUGAGGCCUAGUUGCUCUUUGAC